rnacentral:RNase_P_RNA from 1 species
UCAGAUCGCCGGACGGCCGCUGCCCUCGGGCAGAGGAAAGUCCGGGCUCCGCGGAAAAACGGUGCCGGGUAACGCCCGGCGAGGGUGACCUCAGGGAAAGUGCCACAGAAAGCAAACCGCCGAGACCGCGGCUGCGGCCGCCGAUCGGCAAGGGUGAAAGGGUGCGGUAAGAGCGCACCGCGUCGCUGGCGACAGCGGCGGCACGGCAAACCCCACCGGGAGCAAGACCGAAUAGGGGCGGCGCGCGCCGAUUCGUCGGCGCAGGCUCGAUUUCCGAGCCAGUCGUCCGGGUAGGUCGCGCGAGGCGUCCGGUAACGGGCGUCCCAGAUGAAUGGCCGUCCCUCGGCAUGGCGCCGAGGACAGAACCCGGCUUACAGGCGAUCUGGCGCC